AUCCGGCCUUUCACUGUUGUGAUGUGUUACCUAAAAUGUGUUUUUCAGCAUGUUCAGCUUUCAUUUAAAGACAAAAAGGAAAAGUUUACAUUAGAAAUGAAAUGGAGGGGAACACAAUUAGUAGUCUUUUGGGACCUCUGCAGAGAGCCAAUCAAGGGGCGCAUACUUUAGUGAAGUGAGAUGCCAGCACUAACAUGGGGCCUCAAAACAAUGUUGUCCGUGAAAACAUGUUGUUGCCAUGGAGGUUUUGUUUAUUCUAUCUUUCGCUUAGCAUUAGAUGUGGUCUUUCAGGCAACCUAUGGAGUGUGUCCUCCCUUGCAUUUAGGGAUUUUAUGUUUAAGGAUUUAAUGUACUGUAUAAGCCAUUUGGAGGAGAUGGUUGGUGCGACACUAUUAACAACCGAGCGUACUGCCAGUAUGACGGGGGAGACUGCUGUCCAUCCACUCUCUCUUCUAGAAAGGUCAUUCAAUUCGGGGUGGACUGCGAUCACGAUGAGUGCACUUGCCGUGACCCCGAAGCCGAAGAGAACAAGGGCACAGCCAAGGGAAAGGAGCCAGGAGCGCUGUGAAUGAUAGCGAAGCGGAGAGCGUGGACAGCUCUCAGAUUGGCUUGAAAAGAAAAUGUCAAACAAUAACCUGAAUGUUUCUCACUCCACAUGAGAGCGAGGCUGAUCAAAGGCAGUAAUUCAAACCAUAGAAGUGCAUAAAAACAAUCCUCUUCAACACUAAUCUAUGAAAUAAUACCUAAUAUAUUUUCAAGAUCUCUAACAUAGAUGUAGAUGUAGAUAUGACCCAUAUUUUAGCCCACAAGCAUUUACGUACACCAUCACACACACACACACACACACACAGAAAUGUUUCAAGUGUAGCUGAUUUUUAUGAAUAUUUUAUACAAUUAACUCUUGCUUGUUGUGAGCCACAUUCUCAAUAUUAUUUCCACCUAUAUGUCAUUAAUACAGGUAUAUAAACAAUUGUUAAACAAUUGCUUAUCUCAGACUGUCAGUUCUAAGUAUUUCUAAGUAUUUUUUUUCUUCUCCUUAUCCUUAUUUUAUACCCUCUACGUGUACAUGCAAAACCUGUGAAAUGCAUGUGUGCUUUGGGAAAAGAGAUCAUUUAUAGCGAUUGUAAUGGAAAUAUAUGAUACUAUUUUUGUAUGCUCUUCUGUCUGUUAAAGUGUAGGAUCACUGUCAUAUCAAUAAAGUAUAAAUACACACAAGUUUGGUGGGUUUAAAAGAGUUGAUGUCUAUAAUUGUGCUCAGUAGAAUUCAAAAAACAUUUAAAUAUCAAUGACAAGAUUUCAGAUAAGCUGUUCUAAACAUCAAAAGGUGAAAGAUGUAGAGUGAAAUUACAAUAUGGAAUCCUAUGAAUAAAGCAAAUAUAAAUUUUUAAUUAAUUGUUAAAUUAUUGUAAAUGUUUAAAAAAUUCUUAAAAUGUCAAAAUCUCCUAGUGAAAUCACAGACUUCUUUCUGCUGUUUUAUGCUGGCCAAUCAUAUAGGUCCCACCCCCUUUUUCAAUCAACUUUACAAUCUGCCUCCAACCAAUCAACAACUGAUGGACAGAGACAUGUCCUCGCCUUGCAUCACCCCCACCCCCGAUAAUUUGCUUCACUCAGAUAUAUGUCAUGAUACAUUAAGAAAGGACCUGUUGUUGUACUCCUGUUUCAUUGCAACUUUAAAAAACUGUGCAGCCCUUAUUACUUUUGUUCAAAUAUCAGUUGCACAAUUAAAUAAUCAUUGAAUUAAUUUGGGCAAUUUUAUUUGGAAUAGGAAAUAAAACAAAAACAAGACAUGUUGUACACAACUUUAAAAUGGUUAUUUUCAUAAUACUGUUUAUACUUUAAAAAACUCCUGUACAGUUUCUUGUCCUCUCAUACCUUAUUUUGAAUACUACAUUCAGCACAUUAGUAAUGUGUUUAAUAGUUAAUUAACAUUUACAUUUGUGAUAGCUCUUUCCAUAUCUAUAUGCACUACAGAGACAAACAUUUUCAGCACAUUAAGAAGAUACAGUUUUAGUUCGUGUGAAAAAGUCCUACCUAUACAAGCUGGUGUAUGCACUAUUUGACAAAAUACACCACUAGGUCUAAAUGACACUUUAAUGCAACUUUCCUUUGAGUGUACACUGUACAUUUUUUAAGUGCAAGCCCAGAAACACAUCACUUGAAUGCUAUUUGAAAAAUCAGGAUGGGCUGCUCAUGUUUUCACAAAAUAUUUUCCUCUUCAUCAUUAACUGACCAAUUAAUGUUAAAACUGUUGGAGUAGAUUCUCUAGAGAGAAGCCCUAAAGGGGAGGCUGUGUUGAGGUAUAUAUUAUAUUAUAAUUCUGUACUAUCAAAUUACUUUAUUCAACAAAUCAGCUUCGCUGUGUAAGUGAUUCAAGUUAGUGUUUUCUGCUAACAUCCAUUGUGAUACUCAUACUACAUAGUUUUUAUAAUAUUGCUAUUACGCAAUGCUCUUGACACUGGUUUGAAUUUUUUUUCCCUCCGAUGGUUUAAACAUUGAGCAUUCCAUUCCGUUUAUCCAUUCUGAAAAUGCCCACCUCACAAGCUCCAGAGCAUGAGACUGAAAGAUUGAUGGGAGACUCCAAUAUAACAAAUAUAAACGGCAGGCGAUGGCCAUAUUCAGCUAAAACACAGGUCUUCUGUCUGCACCCCUUAAAUGACGCUCUUCAAAAUCUGGACAGAGGAGUUUAAACCAUAAAUCAAGCCUGUGGUGUUUUUAUAUCAAACUGUAAUGGCAAAGCCUUGAAAAAGAAAUUUUCCCGUCAAGAAGCUUCUGAGGUAACACAGGACCGAUUAAGUGAGCGGCAGCUAAGGUUAAGUACCUGUGAAUUCUAUUAGCGAUGGUGACUUGAGAGGGGCGUUUAUAUGAGUAUGUGCGAAUGCAAUGAAGAGCCAAUAACCUUCGCAAAAGACAAGAAGCUGAAAUGUGAUACCAAGAGUACGGAAAGAGCGCCUCAUUCCUAAGUCAUAGCUUCACUUCAAACCCCUGCCAAACCAGAAGCUCAACACUCUACCACAUAAAUACCAAAAACCAAAUCUGUGUGGACCAACCAGGCUUUGGGGGUAGCUAAGUGCAUUUUUAAGUGUGUUUACGAUUAAAAUGUGGCUUAAACUGAUUCAACUGAACGCACAAUGUCUAGUUUGAGUGCAUUUGCAAUUUAUUGAGGUUCCAUGCAACAAAGUAUAAAUUCAUUAUUUACUUUGGCCUCCAAUUAAUUCACAAGGUAUAUUAAUGGAAUUUUAAUGAUGUC
rnacentral:lncRNA from 1 species